GGUAAUACGUAGGGUGCAAGCGUUAAUCGGAAUUACUGGGCGUAAAGCGUGCGCAGGCGGUUGUGUAAGACAGGUGUGAAAUCCCCGGGCUUAACCUGGGAAUGGCAUUUGUGACUGCACGGCUAGAGUGUGUCAGAGGGGGGUAGAAUUCCACGUGUAGCAGUGAAAUGCGUAGAGAUGUGGAGGAAUACCGAUGGCGAAGGCAGCCCCCUGGGAUAACACUGACGCUCAUGCACGAAAGCGUGGGGAGCAAACAGGAUUAGAUACCCUGGUAGUCCACGCCCUAAACGAUGUCUACUAGUUGUCGGGUCUUAAUUGACUUGGUAACGCAGCUAACGCGUGAAGUAGACCGCCUGGGGAGUACGGUCGCAAGAUUAAAACUCAAAGGAAUUGACGGGGACCCGCACAAGCGGUGGAUGAUGUGGAUUAAUUCGAUGCAACGCGAAAAACCUUACCUACCCUUGACAUGGCUGGAAUCCUUGAGAGAUCAGGGAGUGCUUGAAAGAGAACCAGUACACAGGUGCUGCAUGGCUGUCGUCAGCUCGUG
rnacentral:rRNA from 1 species